ensembl:lncRNA
CUGAUUCUUUUCUGGUAAAGACAUGGUACAGUAAAGUGAAUACAUUUAGCUUUAAUGAACAAAUGUGCAUGCAGAGCAGUUACUUAUAAAACUUAGAAAGGAAAAUAUUCCCUUAAGCGCCGUGUGAAACUCCAUUACUCUGUUGCAUCAUUAAUGAAUGAUUUCUGCUUGGAAUUUACAUAAAUCAAAGGAACCGGAGCUCCUCUGUGCUCCCCGUUCAGUAUAACCUCUGAAUACACAUGCAUAUUUCAUGCUUACUAAAAGAUUAACAGGAACAUUUGUAAAGAUCGAUUUAAAACAUGGCGCCUUCUGGUAUUUUUAGUGCAAUUCAUGAACAUGAGCAAAGACGUAACACGUGAAAAGAAGAACGAGUGCAGAGCAUGGUGUGUUUCGGCUCAAACCUGCAGGGGCAGGGUAUACUUUUAUUUAAACAUAGGUCAAGUCAGAACCUCCUGGUAGAGGCAACCAGGUUUUGAGCUGAAAUAUCCUUCUAGGUGAGAACUCAUGAGGCAAUAAAGCUUCACAAGAAUCUGAACCAGAACCUCCAGCUACAAAACAGCCCCAACGUAUCAAUCUUACACCUCCGUAUUUUACAGUGGAGUAUCAGAUGCUUUGCCUUGUACGCAGUCCCCUCUUUACACCGAUGGAAAGUCUUCUUUCUUCCAAACAGCCACUAAAAUCGACUACAUUUUGAAACUGUGAUUUAUAGACUCCUUUUUCCUUCCUUCACCACCACCGUGCUGCUCGCUCCAAACACCAAAUUUCAGAUGUUUCCGAAAGAUGACACUUUUUUUUUUUUUUUUUUUUUUUUUUCUCUCUGUGGCUGUAAAUGUGCUUCCUGGUAUUUUAAACUGGCUGUGUAGUUUU